rnacentral:ncRNA from 1 species
AUGGUAGAGGCGCGGGACGCAUCAGUACCUCUCUCCCAGGGCUCCAGGCAGCCGGCGAGAGGGAAAGGGCCACCGCCGAAGUGGGAACGCCGCCUGAAGGGCUGACCUGCUGGGACGCCGGAGAAGAUCCGUCGGACUGUCACGUAUGUGGAGCGCUAUCA